rnacentral:rRNA from 1 species
UACGUAGGGACCAAGCGUUGUUCGGAAUUACUGGGCGUAAAGGGCUCGUAGGCGGCCAACUAAGUCAUACGUGAAAUCCCUCAGCUUAACUGGGGAACUGCGUGUGAUACUGGAUGGCUUGGAUUUGGGAGAGGGAUGCGGAAUUCCAGGUGUAGCGGUGAAAUGCGUAGAUAUCUGGAGGAACACCGGUGGCGAAGGCGGCAUCCUGGACCAAUAUUGACGCUGAGGAGCGAAAGCCAGGGGAGCAAACGGG